CUGUAGGCCUGCAGCGAAGGGAGGAAGGAAAUAGAUAAGAUAGUCUAAAAUCCAUUAAGAGAGAGAGAGAGAGAGAGAGAGAGAGAGAGUUAUGGCAUCAUCUACAGCUUCGACUCUGUCAUGGAGUUCCUCCUCGUUGCUUCAGAGAUUUGGAGGCAACACAAACGAAGCCCCCAAAUCCUCAGACCCAAGAACGACCUUCCACAUUUUGGCUCAAAAGAAAGCGAAGAAAGCUCGAGCGAUAAUUCUGAAGGAGGAUGUACCUGCCUUGGGAACUAAAGGCCAACUUCUUAACGUGAAGGCUGGAUAUUACAGGAAUUAUCUGCAUCCUACGGGAAAGGCCCAAAUUGUCACUCCCGUUCUCCUCAAGGAAAUGAAGAUUGAAGAGGAAAGAAUUGAAGCCGAGAAAAAGCGGGUAAAAGAAGAGGCACAGCAAUUGGCUCUCAUUUUCGAAACUGUUGGAGCUUUUAAGGUGAAGCGCAAAGGUGGAAAAGGAAAGCAAAUUUUCGGAAGUGUUACCGCUCAAGAUCUUGUGGACAUAAUCAAGGCUCAACUUCAAAGGGACGUGGACAAGCGAAUUGUGACACUUCCGGAGAUCCGGGAAACAGGGGAAUAUGUUGCCGAACUGAAGCUUCACCCCGAAGUCACAGCCCAAGUGAGGGUGAAUGUGUAUGCAAACUAAGGACAAAGCUCAUCUAAGUAUGCCCACUUUAAUGCACAGUCCAUACAAGUGACUUGCCAUGAUCUAAGCAAUGCAAUCAACACAGAUACGGCGGCAUAUGAUAAGUACCACGGAGCAGUGCGGGACUCGACCGUCGUGUUUCUUGCCAUGUAAUUCUUCCGUUACGAUGCCACACUUGAAUUGUUGCAUCACCAAUGGUGAGAAAUAACAACGUUUAAUGAGAGAUGUUUAGAACUUGUUUACCCAAGUUUUUCUUUUAUGCUUCUGCCUAUUCAUUGUUAAAAUCUGCAAAAAUAGUCUUGAGAACUUCAUUCACGUUAUUUCCUCAUUACCAACUCGGACCAUUUCAUUAUAUCUCUGUUCAUU